GCAUAAUCACUUGUCUACUAAUUAUAGUCUAGAAUGAAUGAACUAAUGAAAUCACACCUGUCUCUUACAGACAAAUAUAAACUAAUCUAGGAGUGAAGAAGCUCCUAUCUCCCCACAAGACAAGAAGACCCUAUAGAGCUUAAUUAUAAAAUUUAAUAAAAAAAUUAGAUAAAUUAGGUUGGGGCGACCUAGGCAUAUUAAACAACCAAUAAACUUAUAGAUAUCCAUAUCAAAAAUAAUGACCCAAUUAUAUUGACCAUAGAAACAAGCUACCUUAGGGAUAACAGGCUAAUUCUUUUUAAGAGUCCAUAUCUACAAAAGAGCUUGGCACCUCGAUGUUGGCUUAAGAUUCCUUUAUGGCGCAGAAGCUAUACCAGUAGGUUUGUUCAACCUAUAAUAUCUU
rnacentral:rRNA from 1 species